rnacentral:rRNA from 1 species
AUUGAACGCUGGCGGCAUGCUUUACACAUGCAAGUCGAACGGUAACAGGUUAAGCUGACGAGUGGCGAACGGGUGAGUAAUGCAUCGGAACGUGCCCGGUCGUGGGGGAUAACGCAGCGAAAGCUGCGCUAAUACCGCAUACGAUCUGAGGAUGAAAGCGGGGGACCGUAAGGCCUCGCGCGAUCGGAGCGGCCGAUGUCAGAUUAGGUAGUUGGUGGGGUAAAGGCUCACCAAGCCAACGAUCUGUAGCUGGUCUGAGAGGACGACCAGCCACACUGGGACUGGGACACGGCCCAGACUCCUACGGGAGGCAGCAGUGGGGAAUUUUGGACAAUGGGCGAAAGCCUGAUCCAGCAAUGCCGCGUGCAGGAUGAAGGCCUUCGGGUUGUAAACUGCUUUUGUACGGAACGAAACGGCCCUUUCUAAUACAGGGGGCUAAUGACGGUACCGUAAGAAUAAGCACCGGCUAACUACGUGCCAGCCGCCGCGGUAA